AUUGAACGCUGGCGGUAUGCCUAACACAUGCAAGUCGAACGAGGUAGCAAUACCUAGUGGCGGACGGGUGAGGAAUACGUAGGGAUCUGCCCUUAAGUGGGGGAUAACCCGGGGGAAACCCGGAUUAAUACCGCAUGAUCUCGCAAGAGCAAAGAGGGGGACCGCAAGGCCUCUCGCUUUUGGAGGAACCUACGUCGGAUUAGCUAGUUGGUGAGGUAAUGGCUCACCAAGGCGACGAUCCGUAACUGGUCUGAGAGGAUGAUCAGUCACACCGGAACUGAGACACGGUCCGGACUCCUACGGGAGGCAGCAGUGGGGAAUAUUGGACAAUGGGCGAAAGCCUGAUCCAGCAAUACCGCGUGUGUGAAGAAGGCC
rnacentral:rRNA from 1 species